UGUAUACAGUAAUUGCUCAAUAAAGGUGGCU
rnacentral:piRNA from 1 species